rnacentral:rRNA from 1 species
GAUGAACGCUAGCGGGAGGCUUAACACAUGCAAGUCGAGGGGCAGCAUAGGGUAGCAAUACUCUGAUGGCGACCGGCAAACGGGUGAGUAACGCGUAUGCAACCUACCCUGUACAGGGGGAUAACCCGGAGAAAUUCGGACUAAUAUCCCGUAAUAAUAUCCGGAGGCAUCUUUGGAUAUUUAAAGUUCCGACGGUACGGGAUGGGCAUGCGUAACAUUAACUGGUUGGUAAGGUAACGGCUUACCAAGGCUAUGAUGUUUAGGGGUCCUGAGAGGGUGGUCCCCCACACUGGUACUGAGACACGGACCAGACUCCUACGGGAGGCAGCAGUGAGGAAUAUUGGUCAAUGGGCGCAAGCCUGAACCAGCCAUCCCGCGUGCAGGAAGACGGCCCUAUGGGUUGUAAACUGCUUUUCCAGGGAGAGAAACUUACGCACGUGUUGCGUGACUGACGGUACCCUGGGAAUAAGCAUCGGCUAACUCCGUA